AUCUGGUUCAGGAUGAACGCUAGCGACAGGCUAACACAUGCAAGUCGAGGGGCAGCAUAAAAGUAGCAAUACUUGGUGGCGACCGGCGCACGGGUGAGUAACGCGUAUGCAACCUACCUAGUCAGAGGGGAAUAACCCGGCGAAAGUCGGACUAAUACCGCAUAAAACAGGGGCACCGCAUGGUGAUAUUUGUUAAAGAAAUUCGCUGAUAGAUGGGCAUGCGUUCCAUUAGGUAGUUGGUGAGGUAACGGCUCACCAAGCCGACGAUGGAUAGGGGAACUGAGAGGUUGGUCCCCCACACUGGUACUGAGACACGGACCAGACUCCUACGGGAGGCAGCAGUGAGGAAUAUUGGUCAAUGGGCGGGAGCCUGAACCAGCCAAGUCCGCGUGAAGGAAGAAGGAUCUAUGGUUCGUAAACUUCUUUUGCAGGGGAAUAAAGUGCAGGACGUGUCCUGUUUUGUAUGUACCCUGAGAAUAAGGAUCGGCUAACUCCGUGCCAGCCGCGGC
rnacentral:rRNA from 1 species